rnacentral:rRNA from 1 species
AUUGAACGCUGGCGGCAGGCCUAACACAUGCAAGUCGAACGAGUGGCGGACGGGUGAGUAAUGUCUGGGAAACUGCCCGAUGGAGGGGGAUAACUACUGGAAACGGUAGCUAAUACCGCAUACUAUCAGAUGAGCCUAGGUCGGAUUAGCUAGUUGGUGGGGUAAAGGCGUACCAAGGCGACGAUCCGUAGCUGGUCUGAGAGGAUGACCAGCCACACUGGAACGGAGACACGGUCCAGACUCCUACGGGAGGAAGCAGUGGGGAAUAUUGGACAAUGGGCGAAAGCCUGAUGCAGCCAUGCCGCGUGUAUGAAGAAGGCCUUCGGAUUGUAAAGUACUUUCAGUUGGGAGGCGUUACCAACAGAAUAAGCACCGGCUAACUCCGUGCCAGCAGCCGCGGUAAUAC